rnacentral:rRNA from 1 species
UAUUAUACUAAUUGUAAUUUUAGUCGUCAGGGUAGUAUAAUGUAAAGUUUGAAACCUAAAGAAUUUGGCGGUGUUUCAGUCUCUUUAGAGGAAUCUGUCCUGUAAUCGAUGCUACACGAUCAUUUUUACCUAAUUUGUGCUUGUAUACCGUCGUCAUCAGAUGAGUCUAUAAGGAUGUUUUCAUGAGACUAAUAAUGUUAUAUGUCAGAUCAAGGUGCAGUUUUUUUAGGAUGGGAGAUGGAUUACAAUAAUAAAAUUUAUUACGGAUUAUAGAUGUAAAAUUUAUAUGAAGGUGGAUUUAAAAGUAAAGUUGUUUUAGAUAAUAAUUUGGUUUGGGCUCUGGAAUGUGCACAUAUCGCCCGUCGCUCUCAUUAUUUAAGAUGAG